UUUUUUUUUAAUCUUUUUUGAGACAAGAUCUCGCUAUGCAGUUCAACCUGGCUUUGAGCUCACUUUGUAGCCCAGGCUGGUCUCAAACUCUCAAGGAUCGAUCUUCCCACCUCAGCCUCCGAGUGCUGGGAUUACAGGCAGCAAAACAAUCAGAAGUAUUUGAAACCUUUUUAGAGUUUAAAAUCUGAGUCUUCAUUGAGCAACACCAGAACAAUGGGAUUCUUCAAUGUUUUCCUAGUGAUCCUGUGGCUUCAGUUCAUCUGGGUGAGCGGCCAACAGAAGGAGGUAGAGCAGAGUCCUGAGACCCUCAGUGUUUCAGAGGGAGACAGCAUUGAUCUCAACUGCAGUUACAGUGGCAGGAAUUUUCAAACCUUUAUUUGGUACCGACAGCAUCCUGGGAAGGGUCCUGAGUUUCUGAUUUCCUUGUUCUCCAGUGGUGACAGAAAGGAAGGAAGAUUCACAGCGCAGCUCAGCACAGCCAGCCGGCAUUUCUCCCUGCACAUCACAGACUCCCAGCACCAUGACUCAGCUGCCUACCUCUGUGCAAUGAGCCCACAGUGCUCCACAGGCAGCUGCAGCCUGCACCAGAACCACAGAGUCUGGGCAGCCCUGAGGAGAGCAGAGAGCACAGGGCACAGGCUUUCUGUAUCUGCUCCAAAUGCAGAGGGGAUUAAGAGCAACGCUAGAGAUUAGGAGAGUAUCUAAUAAUUCUGAAAAUAAAUGACCAUGGAAGGGAAAUAAGAGGCAAAAUCUUUGUCUGAUAUAAAUAUUUUCCUUUUUUCCAUUGCCACUGUAAUUAAAAAAUGUUUUUGAGAUAGUGUAUGUACAAAAGGUUCACAUAUGUAAGUUAUAAAUCUCUGUGCA